CCUACGGGUGGCUGCAGUGGGGAAAAUUGGACAAUGGGGGGAACCCUGAUCCAGCCAUGCCGCGUGUGUGAAGAAGGCCCUCGGGUUGUAAAGCACUUUCAGUGAGGAAGAACGCCUGGUGGUUAAUACCCAUCAGGAAAGACAUCACUCACAGAAGAAGCACCGGCUAACUCCGUGCCAGCAGCCGCGGUAAUACGGAGGGUGCGAGCGUUAAUCGGAAUUACUGGGCGUAAAGCGCGCGUAGGUGGCUUGAUAAGCCGGUUGUGAAAGCCCCGGGCUCAACCUGGGAACGGCAUCCGGAACUGUCAAGCUAGAGUGCAGGAGAGGAAGGUAGAAUUCCCGGUGUAGCGGUGAAAUGCGUAGAGAUCGGGAGGAAUACCAGUGGCGAAGGCGGCCUUCUGGACUGACACUGACACUGAGGUGCGAAAGCGUGGGUAGCAAACAGGAUUAGAUACCCUUGUAGUC
rnacentral:rRNA from 1 species